AUACUUCCCUGGCAGGGGAGAUACCAUGAUCAUGAAGGUGGUUUUCCCAGGGCGAGGCUCACCCGUUACACUCCGGAUGUGCUGAUCCCUGCGAUUUCCCCAAAUGUGGGAGACUCGACUGCAUAAUUUGUGGUGGUAGGGGGCUCCGUUCAUGCUCUCCCCUG